AUUGAACGCUGGCGGCAGGCCUAACACAUGCAAGUCGAGCGGAUGAAGGUAGCUUGCUCCUGGAUUCAGCGGCGGACGGGUGAGGAAUGCCUAGGAAUCUGCCUGGUAGUGGGGGAUAACGUCCGGAAACGGGCGCUAAUACCGCAUACGGCCUGAGGGAGAAAGUGGGGGAUCUUCGGACCUCACGCUAUCAGAUGAGCCUAGGUCGGAUUAGCUAGUUGGUGGGGUAAAGGCCUACCAAGGCGACGAUCCGUAACUGGUCUGAGAGGAUGAUCAGUCACACUGGAACUGAGACACGGUCCAGACUCCUACGGGAGGCAGCAGUGGGGAAUAUUGGACAAUGGGCGAAAGCCUGAUCCAGCCAUGCCGCGUGUGUGAAGAAGGUCUUCGGAUUGUAAAGCACUUUAAGUUGGGAGGAAGGGCAGUAAGUUAAUACCUUGCUGUUUUGACGUUACCAAAAGAAUAAGCACCGGCUAACUUCGUG
rnacentral:rRNA from 1 species